rnacentral:rRNA from 1 species
AGUGAACGCUGGCGGUAGGCCUAACACAUGCCAGUCGAACGGCAGCACAGUAAGAGCUUGCUCUUACGGGUGGCGAGUGGCGGACGGGUGAGGAAUACAUCGGAAUCUACUUUUUCGUGGGGGAUAACGUAGGGAAACUGACGCUAAUACCGCAUACUACCUACGGCUGAAAGCAGGAGAUCUUCGGACCUUGCGCGAUUGAAUGAGCCGAUGUCGGAUUAGCUAGUUGGCGGGGUAAGGGCCCACCAAGGCGACGAUCCGUAGCUGGUCUGAGAGGAUGAUCAGCCACACUGGAACUGGGACACGGUCCAGACUCCUACGGGAGGCAGCAGUGGGGAAUAUUGGACAAUGGGCGCAAGCCUGAUCCAGCCAUACCGCGUGGGUGAAGAAGGCCUUCGGGUUGUAAAGCCCUUUUGUUGGGAAAGAAAAGCAGCAGGUUAAUCCCCCGCUGUUCUGACGGUACCCAAAGAAUAAGCACCGGCUAACUUCGUG